UUCCGAUUCUUCUCCCUACAACAACGUCUGCAUCCCCAACAACUCCCCUUAAAGCCCAACCGGCAACACCUUCUCCUUCCCCGGCGAUUCUUCAUAACUCCAAUUGUCGCUGCUGUGCUCUUUGACACCGGCCGCCUUUAGUACCCUGCCGGUGCGGUAUUCCCGAUUUGCCAUGGCCACCAAUGCCGCAACUACUCCGCUACAAUUCAAAAUCAAUGUCUCUUAAUGGCUGAAUGCUUAUAGCCAUGAUAGAGAGAAUGAUAAGGAUCUGUUGUCUCUAACUUCAGAAUGAUUUGGAGAAGGUUGGGAUGUCCAGGAUUGUUGUUGUCGAUCGUCCAGGAUUGUUAUUGUCGAUCGUCUGCUUUUGAAAUUGAAAAUGAACAUUGAUGCAAAAUUUGAGAAGGCUCUCCAAAAUGCUGCAGGUCCUUGAUCACAUAUGGUCAACGUUGAGGACAUUUAGGAUGGAUAUCGUAAUUUAGCUGCCGAUUUAGGUCUAGCAAAUUGAAACUCCAAAUUCGAUUUUACUUGUCAUGUGUAUAGAAGGACAUAGCUUAUAGUUACAGAACACAAUUUUCAAUACGCUAUUAUGAAUGUAAUUAGUUGAUGUUACCAACUAUGAUUAUAUGAAUAAAAUCAUGCAGCUCUUAUUUUAUGCU